AGAGUUUGAUCCUGGCUCAGAAUCAACGCUGGCGGCGCGCUUAACACAUGCAAGUCGAGCGAGAAAGGGGAGCAAUCCCUGAGUACAGCGGCGUACGGGUGAGUAACACGUGGGUCAUCUACCUCUUUGUGGGGAAUAACCCUGGGAAACCGGGGCUAAUACCGCAUAAGCCUGGAAAGGGAAAGCAAGCAAUUGCGCAGAGAGAGGAGCCCGCGGCCGAUUAGCUAGUUGGUGAGGUAACGGCUCACCAAGGCGACGAUCGGUAGCCGGCCUGAGAGGGCACACGGCCACACUGGCACUGAAACACGGGCCAGACUCCUACGGGAGGCAGCAGUGGGGAAUCUUGCACAAUGGAGGCAACUCUGAUGCAGCGACGCCGCGUGAGCGAUGAAGCCCCUCGGGGUGUAAAGCUCUUUCGGCAGGAACGAUCAUGACGGUACCUGAAGAAGAAGCUGCGGCUAACUACGUGCCAGCAGCCGCGGUAAUACGUAGGCAGCGAGCGUUGUUCGGAAUUACUGGGCGUAAAGAGUGUGUAGGCGGUGCUCUAAGUUCGGUGUGAAAUCUCCCGGCUUAACUGGGAGGGUGCGCCGGAAACUGGAGUGCUCGAGCGUGGGAGAGGAAAGCGGAAUUCCUGGUGUAGCGGUGAAAUGCGUAGAUAUCAGGAGGAACACCUGUGGUGUAGACGGCUUUCUGGACCAUAGCUGACGCUGAGACACGAAAGCGUGGGUAGCAAACAGGAUUAGAUACCCUGGUAGUCC
rnacentral:rRNA from 1 species